CAGUAGCCACGGUAAUACGAAGGGGGCUAGCGUUGCUCGGAAUUACUGGGCGUAAAGGGCGCGUAGGCGGACAGUUCAGUCGGGGGUGAAAGCCCGGGGCUCAACCUCGGAAUUGCCUUCGAUACUGGCUGUCUUGAGUAUGAGAGAGGUGUGUGGAACUCCGAGUGUAGAGGUGAAAUUCGUAGAUAUUCGGAAGAACACCAGUGGCGAAGGCGACACACUGGCUCAUUACUGACGCUGAGGCGCGAAAGCGUGGGGAGCAAACAGGAUUAGAUACCCCGGUAGUCCCUGUCUCUUAUAA
rnacentral:rRNA from 1 species